rnacentral:rRNA from 1 species
UACGUAGGGGGCUAGCGUUGUCCGGAAUCAUUGGGCGUAAAGAGCGUGUAGGCGGCUCGGUAAGUCCGCUGUGAAAGUCCAGGGCUCAACCCUGGAAUGCCGGUGGAAACUGUCGAGCUAGAGUCCGGAAGAGGCGAGUGGAAUUCCCAGUGUAGAGGUGAAAUUCGUAGAUAUUGGGAAGAACACCGGUGGCGAAGGCGGCGCUCUGGACCGAGACUGACGCUGAGGCGCGAAAGCGUGGGGAGCAAACAGG